rnacentral:rRNA from 1 species
AUGUCAACAUGAGCUAACUUAGGACUACAAAAUAGAGCCUCCCCAUUAAUAGAACAAUUAACCUUUUUUCAUGACCACACAUUAUUAAUUCUAGUAAUAAUUACAGUUAUAGUAGGAUAUUUAAUAUUCAUAUUAUUUUUUAAUACUUAUACCAACCGAUUUUUAUUACAUGGACAAAUUAUUGAAAUAAUCUGAACCAUCCUACCAGCUAUUAUUCUUCUAUUCAUUGCAUUCCCAUCCCUGCGGCUAUUAUAUCUACUGGACGAAAUUAAUGAACCAGCAAUUACACUAAAAUCUAUUGGUCAUCAAUGGUACUGAAGCUAUGAAUAUUCGGAUUUUAUUGAUCUAGAAUUUGAUUCCUAUAUAAUCCCAUCUAAUGAUCUUUCGACUGAUAGAUUUCGUUUACUAGACGUAGAUAAUCGAGUAAUCAUCCCUAUAAAUACACAAAUUCGUGUAUUAGUAACUGCUGCUGAUGUAAUUCACUCCUGAACAGUACCCUCCCUUGGAGUAAAAGUAGAUGGAACCCCAGGCCGAUUAAACCAAACUAACUUCAUAAUCAGACGUCCUGGCCUAUUUUUCGGACAAUGCUCAGAAAUCUGUGGGGCAAACCACAGAUUUAUGCCCAUUGUAAUUGAAAGUAUCAAUACAAGCUAUUUUAUUAAAUGAGUUUCU